GAUGAACGCUAGCGGCAGGCCUAACACAUGCAAGUCGAGGGGUAUGGCAGCAAUGCCAGAGACCGGCGCACGGGUGCGUAACGCGUAUGCAAUCUACCUUUUACAGGGGGAUAGCCCAGAGAAAUUUGGAUUAAUACCUCAUAGUAUAUUUUAGUGGCAUAACUAGAUUAUUAAAGUUCCAACGGUAAAAGAUGAGCAUGCGUCCUAUUAGCUGGAUGGUAAGGUAACGGCUUACCAUGGCUACGAUAGGUAGGGGUCCUGAGAGGGAGAUCCCCCACACUGGUACUGAGACACGGACCAGACUCCUACGGGAGGCAGCAGUGAGGAAUAUUGGACAAUGGGCGCAAGCCUGAUCCAGCCAUGCCGCGUGCAGGAAGACGGUCCUAUGGAUUGUAAACUGCUUUUGUACGGGAAGAAACACUCCUACGUGUAGGAGCUUGACGGUACCGUAAGAAUAAGGAUCGGCUAACUCCGUGCCAGCCGCCGCAGUAAAAC
rnacentral:rRNA from 1 species